GACGAACGCUGGCGGCGUGCUUAACACAUGCAAGUCGAACGAUGAAGCCGGAGCUUGCUCCGGUGGAUUAGUGGCGAACGGGUGAGUAACACGUGAGCAAUCUGCCCUUGACUCUGGGAUAACUGCGGGAAACUGUAGCUAAUACCGGAUACGACACCUUGGGGCAUCCCAGGGUGGUGAAAGAAUUUCGGUCAAGGAUGAGCUCGCGGCCUAUCAGCUAGUUGGUGAGGUAAUGGCCCACCAAGGCGACGACGGGUAGCCGGCCUGAGAGGGUGACCGGCCACACUGGAACUGAGACACGGUCCAGACUCCUACGGGAGGCAGCAGUGGGGAAUAUUGCACAAUGGGCGAAAGCCUGAUGCAGCAACGCCGCGUGAGGGAUGAAGGCCUUCGGGUUGUAAACCUCUUUUAGCAGGGAAGAAGCGAAAGUGACGGUACCUGCAGAAAAAGCACCGGCUAACUACGUGCCAGCCGCCGCCGUAA
rnacentral:rRNA from 1 species